GACGAACGCUGGCGGCGUGCUUAACACAUGCCAGUCGAACGGAAAGGCCUCUUUCGGGGGGUACUCGAGUGGCGAACGGGUGAGUAACACGUGAGUAACCUGCCCUUGACUUUGGGAUAACUUCAGGAAACUGGGGCUAAUACCGGAUAGGAGCUCCUGCUGCAUGGUGGGGGUUGGAAAGUUUGGGCGGUUGGGGAUGGACUCGCGGCUUAUCAGCUUGUUGGUGGGUGAUUGGCUUACCAAGGCUUUGACGGGUAGCCGGCCUGGGAGGGUGAACGGCCACAUUGGGCCUGAGAUACGGCCCAGACUCCUACGGGAGGCAGCAGUGGGGAAUAUUGCACAAUGGGUGGAAGCCUGAUGCAGCAACGCCGUGUGCGGGAUGACGGCCUUCGGGUUGUAAACCGCUUUCGCUCAUGACGAAGCUUUGUGUGACGGUAGUGGGUAAAGAAGCACCGGCUAACUACGUG
rnacentral:rRNA from 1 species